UACGGAGGGUGCGAACGUUGUUCGGAUUUACUGGGCGUAAAGCGCACGUAGGCGGACUAUUAAGUCAGGGGUGAAAUCCCGGGGCUCAACCCCGGAACUGCCUUUGAUACUGGUAGUCUUGAGUCCGGGAGAGGUGAGUGGAACUCCGAGUGUAGAGGUGAAAUUCGUAGAUAUUCGGAAGAACACCAGUGGCGAAGGCGGCUCCACUGGCCCGGUACUGACGCUGAGAUACGAAAGCGUGGGGAGCAAACAGGG
rnacentral:rRNA from 1 species